rnacentral:rRNA from 1 species
CUGGGCGUAAGGGUGCGUAGGCGGUUGUUUAAGUUUGGUGUGAAAUCUCCCGGCUCAACUGGGAGGGUGCGCCGAAUACUGAAUGACUAGAGUGCGGGAGAGGAGAGUGGAAUUCCUGGUGUAGCGGUGAAAUGCGUAGAUAUCAGGAGGAACACCGGUGGUGUAGACGGCUCUCUGGACCGUAACUGACGCUGAGGCACGAAAGCGUGGGUAGCAAACAGGAUUAGAUACCCUGGUAGUCCACGCCCUAAACGAUGCAUAUUUGGUGUGGGCAGUUCAGUCUGUCCGUGCCGGAGCUAACGCGUUAAAUAUGCCGCCUGGGGAGUACAGUCGCAAGGCUGAAACUCAAAGGAAUUGACGGGGGCCCGCACAAGCGGUGGAGCAUGUGGUUCAAUUCGACGCAACGCGAAGAACCUUACCUGGGCUCGAACGGCUGGUCAACGGCGGUGGAAACAUCGCUACCCCGCAAGGGGGUCCAGUCGAGGUGCUGCAUGGCUGUCGUCAGCUCGUGUCGUGAGAUGUUGGGUUAAGUCCCGCAACGAGCGCAACCCUUGUCCUGUGUUGCCAUCAUUCAGUUGGGAACUCGCAGGAGACCGCCAGGGAUAACCUGGAGGAAGGUGGGGAUGA